AGAGUUUGAUCCUGGCUCAGAUUGAACGCUGGCGGCAGGCCUAACACAUGCAAGUCGAGCGGUAGAGAGAAGCUUGCUUCUCUUGAGAGCGGCGGACGGGUGAGUAAUGCCUAGGAAUCUGCCUGGUAGUGGGGGAUAACGUUCGGAAACGGACGCUAAUACCGCAUACGUCCUACGGGAGAAAGCAGGGGACCUUCGGGCCUUGCGCUAUCAGAUGAGCCUAGGUCGGAUUAGCUAGUUGGUGGGGUAAUGGCUCACCAAGGCGACGAUCCGUAACUGGUCUGAGAGGAUGAUCAGUCACACUGGAACUGAGACACGGUCCAGACUCCUACGGGAGGCAGCAGUGGGGAAUAUUGGACAAUGGGCGAAAGCCUGAUCCAGCCAUGCCGCGUGUGUGAAGAAGGUCUUCGGAUUGUAAAGCACUUUAAGUUGGGAGGAAGGGCAGUUACCUAAUACGUGAUUGUUUUGACGUUACCCGACAGAAUAAGCACCGGCUAACUCUGUGCCAGCAGCCGCGGUAAUACAGAGGGGUGCAAGCGUUAAUCGGAAUUACUGGGCGUUAAGCGCCGCGUAGUGGUUCGUUAAGUUGG
rnacentral:rRNA from 1 species